AUACUGUCACUUAUACAGCUGUGGUACAAACGUUUAUGUAUUAGGGAACAUCUUUCUUCAUCUGUCCUCCACCUCGGGCUCGAGUCCAGGAGGAGAGUCAGUUGCUAAACCCAAGUCACCCCAAGUCCUGGACCAGCUGGUGGGCCUCAGGCGGAGGCAACAACAGCAGGUCACACAGGAGUCCCCUCAACGUCGUCUCUCACGGACUUAUUACCUGUACAUAUUGUGUGUGUGUGUGGCAAGCUAAAUCAAUAAUAAGAUCUGAUGUUCUUGGGUGAUCUUAUGAAAGUAAAGAAUUCAGAGGAACUUUCAUUUCUAGUUUAAAACCAUUUAAACAAUGUACAACAGUCACCGGCCAAAAUUGAGGAGAGAAGACGAGCAUUUUUUGCGCACCUAUAAAGUAGUGAAUAAAGAGACAGCAGAAUCUGAAACGUGUGAACAAAUUAAUGAAAAACAAGAAAAGAAAGAAGAAGAAAAUUCAACACUUAAGCUGAAAGACAAAGCCAGGUUACUUUAUAGUAUGGAGAAGUUCAGUGACUAUACAAACCGCAUCUAUGAAAGUCCUAGAAUGAAUAGUAGCCAAUUUCAGGAGAGGAAGGAAGAGCUGAAGACACAUUUGACUGAGAUAAUUCUCGCUGCUGCUGAAUGUUAUGACUACGAACCCGAAGAAACCACUAGGCAAAUUGAAUCCAUGGUCAAUGAUGUCGAGAAGAUCGCCAAAGAGCCCAUAGAUCCCGAGGAGCUCGAACAGUUACGGGAUGAUUUGAAUCGGGUAAGGGAAGAGAAGGGAAAACUUCUUAAGAAUCAGAAAUGAACAACAAGGAAGUAGGUGGCCAAAGUUGAGGAUGAUCUGUUGUGGAAGUGAUGGCUUUCAUUUUUAUAAGAGCAGUUAUGUACACAAUGAACCCCUCAGACAUAAUAUUUUCUCUUGAUAAAGCAAGUUAACAAUAUAAAUUAAGGACGUACUGUAUGCACAUGAAUAUGUCGUGAAUGAUGAAUAUUUUAUACCUGUAACAUGCUUGUUACUAUUACAUGCUUGUUACUAUUACAUGCAUAAUGUUACGAUGUAGGUUGAUUGAGUAGUACUGACGACCUCUCACUUUAUAUUGUACCGGCAUAGGAAAAGCUUCAUUAUCCAUCAAUUUACUGCCAGUACAAGUGUCCAAUCUACUAUAAUACAAUCAUUAGUGCACAAUACAGGUACAGUACAUAACACUAUAAAAAAUUUUCAAAUGUUUCACCAACAACUUCAAAAUACAUUGUUGGUUCUAUGUUAAUAUAAUGCCUUAGUGCCUCUCAUUAACAUGUUUUGGAUAAUAUUGUUGCUUUCGUAUGUGGUGUUAUGAUUCAAUUAUGUGUUUGUUAUUGAUUAAAUUCUUUUACAACUGGGCAUUGUUGUAGCAUCUGGCUCUCCUUACAUGAAUAUUAAACUGACUCUUUUUUCUA
rnacentral:misc_RNA from 1 species